rnacentral:tRNA from 1 species
CGGGGCGUAGCUCAGCUUGGUCAGAGUGCCACGUUUGGGGCGUGGAUGCCGCCGGUUCGAAUCCGGCCGCCCCGA